GGCCUAACNCUGCAAGUCGGACGGUAGCACAGAANAGCUUGCUCUUCGGGUGACGAGUGGCGGACGGGUGAGUAAUGUCUGGGAAACUGCCUGAUGGAGGGGGAUAACUACUGGAAACGGUAGCUAAUACCGCAUAACCUCGCAAGAGCAAAGUGGGGGACCUUCGGGCCUCACGCCAUCGGAUGUGCCCAGAUGGGAUUAGCUAGUAGGUGGGGUAACGGCUCACCUAGGCGACGAUCCCUAGCUGGUCUGAGAGGAUGACCAGCCACACUGGAACUGAGACACGGUCCAGACUCCUACGGGAGGCAGCAGUGGGGAAUAUUGCACAAUGGGCGCAAGCCUGAUGCAGCCAUGCCGCGUGUAUGAAGAAGGCCUUCGGGUUGUAAAGUACUUUCAGCGGGGAGGAAGGCGGUAAGGUUAAUAACCUUACCCAUUGACGUUACCCCCAAAAAAANCAGCCUCCUCUCCGUGUCUGCAUGCACGGUAA
rnacentral:rRNA from 1 species